rnacentral:rRNA from 1 species
UUGAACGCUGGCGGCAGGCCUAACACAUGCCAGUCGAACGGUAACAGGGAUCAGCUUGCUGAUUCGCUGACGAGUGGCGGACGGGUGAGUAAUGUCUGGGAAACUGCCUGAUGGAGGGGGAUAACUACUGGAAACGGUAGCUAAUACCGCAUAACGUCGCAAGACCAAAGAGGGGGACCUUCGGGCCUCUUGCCAUCGGAUGUGCCCAGAUGGGAUUAGCUAGUAGGUGGGGUAACGGCUCACCUAGGCGACGAUCCCUAGCUGGUCUGAGAGGAUGACCAGCCACACUGGAACUGAGACACGGUCCAGACUCCUACGGGAGGCAGCAGUGGGGAAUAUUGCACAAUGGGCGCAAGCCUGAUGCAGCCAUGCCGCGUGUAUGAAGAAGGCCUUCGGGUUGUAAAGUACUUUCAGCGGGGAGGAAGGGAGUAAAGUUAAUACCUUUGCUCAUUGACGUUACCCGCAGAAGAAGCACCGGCUAACUCCGUG